rnacentral:rRNA from 1 species
UACGUAGGGUGCGAGCGUUAAUCGGAAUUACUGGGCGUAAAGCGUGCGUAGGCGGUCCGCGAAGUCUGAUGUGAAAGCCCCGGGCUCAACCUGGGAACUGCAUUGGAAACCGACGGGCUCGAGUGUGGCAGAGGGGGGUGGAAUUCCACGUGUAGCAGUGAAAUGCGUAGAGAUGUGGAGGAACACCGAUGGCGAAGGCAGCCCCCUGGGCUAACACUGACGCUCAGGCACGAAAGCGUGGGGAGCAAACAGG